UAGGGAAUCUUCCGCAAUGGACGAAAGUCUGACGGAGCAACGCCGCGUGAGUGAAGAAGGUUUUCGGAUCGUAAAGCUCUGUUGUUAAGGAAGAACGAGUGUGAGAAUGGAAAGUUCAUGCUGUGACGGUACUUAACCAGAAAGGGACGGCUAACUACGUGCCAGCAGCCGCGGUAAUACGUAGGUCCCGAGCGUUGUCCGGAUUUAUUGGGCGUAAAGCGAGCGCAGGCGGUUAGAAAAGUCUGAAGUGAAAGGCAGUGGCUCAACCAUUGUAGGCUUUGGAAACUGUUUAACUUGAGUGCAGAAAGGGAGGGUGGAAUUCCAUGUGUAGCGGUGAAAUGCGUAGAUAUAUGGAGGAACACCGGUGGCGAAAGCGGCUCUCUGGUCUGUAACUGACGCUGAGGCUCGAAAGCGUGGGGAGCGAACAGG
rnacentral:rRNA from 1 species